AUUGAACGCUGGCGGCAGGCUUAACACAUGCAAGUCGAGCGGAGAUGAGGUGCUUGCACCUUAUCUUAGCGGCGGACGGGUGAGUAAUGCUUAGGAAUCUGCCUAUUAGUGGGGGACAACAUUCCGAAAGGAAUGAUAAUACCGCAUACGCCCUACGGGGGAAAGCAGGGGAUCUUCGGAACUUGCGCUAAUCGAUGGGCCUAAGUCGGAUUAGCUAGUUGGUGGGGUAAAGGCCUACCAAGGCGACGAUCUGUAGCGGGUCUGAGAGGAUGAUCCGCCACACUGGGACUGAGACACGGCCCAGACUCCUACGGGAGGCAGCAGUGGGGAAUAUUGGACAAUGGGCGGAAGCCUGAUCCAGCCAUGCCGCGUGUGUGAAGAGGGCCUUUUGGUUGUAAAGCACUUUAAGCGAGGAGGAGGCUACCUGGAUUAAUACUCUAGGAUAGUGGACGUUACUCGCAGAAUAAGCACCGCCUAACUCUGUGCCAGCCGCCGCAGUAAAAC
rnacentral:rRNA from 1 species